CCUACGGGUGGCAGCAGUGAGGAAUAUUGGUCAAUGGUCGGGAGACUGAACCAGCCAAGCCGCGUGAGGGAGGAAGGUACAGAGUAUCGUAAACCUCUUUUGUCAGGGAACAAAGACUGGGACGCGUCCCCGGAUGAGUGUACCUGAAGAAAAAGCAUCGGCUAACUCCGUGCCAGCAGCCGCGGUAAUACGGAGGAUGCGAGCGUUAUCCGGAUUUAUUGGGUUUAAAGGGUGCUCAGGCGUUCUGUUAAGUCAGCGGGCAAAGCCCGGGGCUCAACCCCGGCCCGCCGUUGAAACUGGCAGUCUCGAGUUGGAGAGAAGUAUGCGGAAUGCGCGGUGUAGCGGUGAAAUGCAUAGAUAUCGCGCAGAACUCCGAUUGCGAAGGCAGCAUGCCGGCUCCACACUGACGCUGAGGCACGAAAGCGUGGGUAUCGAACAGGAUUAGAUACCCGGGUAGUC
rnacentral:rRNA from 1 species